CAGUUGUUAUGCCUUUAAUCUCAUUGUCACAAUCUCACCAGUAGCCCCAUCACAAUAAGUAAAAAUGACAGACAAGUGCAAAUCUUAAUUAUUUAAAAUAUCUUUUAAUAAGUUAUAUUUUACACAGAUUUUAGAAUACAUUUCUCAGGAUAUCACCUAUUUUUCAGUUCACAUUCCUGUGUUGAAACAUAUUUUACUGUAAACGCUCUUUAUAAAAAAAUUAAAUUGAUGUAACAAUAUAACAAGCGGAAAGCGAAGUAAAUGAUAAAGGGACCAACAUAUAGAAACAGUUGGAGUGAAAGAAUCCAAUAUGUAUUUCAAAUCGUAAACUGGUACAAGGGGGCCACAAUGUGUUCCUCCCAAAGAAUGUGUAUUGUAUAAUGUUACUAGAAUUGGAAAACAUGUUGCCAAGUCAAGAUUAGUUAUAAAUUGGACUCUCAGAGAGAGUGCAUUGCAAUCUCAAUAUCACUAAUAGAGUGUUGUGAAUAGGACCAGCAUGCAUUUAAAAUUGAGAAUAAUUAAAAAAUAAUGGCUAAUUGCACCAGAAUGCAUUGUACUCUCAGAAUCACUAAUCUAUUGUAGAUAAGGGGACCAACAAGCAUUGCAACCCAAGUGUCACUAAAACAUUCUGGCUGAUAAUACCAUAGCACAUUGCAAACUCAGAGUAAGUAAUAGAUUGUGGGUGAUGGAGACUGAAUAGAUUGCAAAUUUCACUUCUAGUAAACAGGAUUACGGACUCCUUGACAUUACUUCCCAAAGGAGAAGCCACUUUGGCAGCAAUCUGAGCUCUUCUUACA